CCGCCGCCGGCCCGGCCCGGCCCGGCCCGCUGAGGCGGCGGAAGGAGCUGCCGCGCCCCGCCGCGGCGCGCAGGUGGCGCCGGGGGCCGCCGGGCGGCGGGGCGGGGCGGGGCCCGGAGCCGGAGCCGGAGCCGGAGCCGGAGCAGGGCCGCGGCGCUCGGGAAGGGCCGGGCCGGGCCGGGGCAUUGGCUGGGGCCGCGGGGGCGCCGCCGGCGCGGCGCUGGGGGCGCCUGAAGGGGGAGAAAGCGUCGCGGGCAGCGAGCGCCGAGAGCCGCCGCCGGCAGAGGAGGAACCGGACCGGACCGGACCGGCGCGCGGCUCCGGCGUCGCUGAGGGUCUCCGCGCCGCGGUUCCGAGGGUUGCGUUAUUUUUCAAGCCGCGGAAAGCGUAGCGGCCAGCGGGGAACGCGAUGCCACAUGAACUGA
rnacentral:lncRNA from 1 species